UUAACUAUUAUAUAGUACUCAGACGACACUAAUAAUCAGGGUUUUGGAUUCUCUGGCGGGCGCUCACCAGCCGGAGCCGGUGGUCGGGCGUGAGCCUGACGGCCCGCCAAAGCAACAAAGUAAUAAUAACACAGGGUGGGAGAUCUACCCGUAAGGGCAUGAACUCUGUAAUGAUCCCUCCGCAGGUUCACCUACGGAGA
rnacentral:misc_RNA from 1 species